rnacentral:rRNA from 1 species
UACGAAGGGGGCUAGCGUUGCUCGGAAUCACUGGGCGUAAAGCGCACGUAGGCGGCUUGUUAAGUCAGGGGUGAAAUCCUGGAGCUCAACUCCAGAACUGCCUUUGAUACUGGCGAGCUUGAGUCCGGGAGAGGUGAGUGGAACUGCGAGUGUAGAGGUGAAAUUCGCAGAUAUCAGGAGGAACACCGGUGGCGAAGGCGGGUCUCUGGGCCGAUACUGACGCUGAGGAGCGAAAGCGUGGGGAGCAAACAGG